UGGAGAAUUUUGCACAAUGGGGGAAACCCUGAUGCAGCGACGCCGCGUGAUUUAGAAGGCCUUCGGGUUGUAAAAAUCUUUUCUAUGGGAAGAAAAUGACAGUACCAUAGGAAUAAGGACCGGCUAAUUACGUGCCAGCAGCCGCGGUAAUACGUAAGGUCCGAGCGUUGUCCGGAAUCAUUGGGCGUAAAGGGUACGCAGGCGGGUAAGCAAGUUAGAAGUGAAAUCCUAUAGCUCAACUAUAGUAAGCUUUUAAAACUGCUCAUCUUGAGGUAUGGAAGGGAAAGUGGAAUUCCUAGUGUAGCGGUGAAAUGCGCAGAUAUUAGGAGGAAUACCGGUGGCGAAGGCGACUUUCUGGCCAUAACCUGACGCUGAGGUACGAAAGCGUGGGUAGCAAACAGG
rnacentral:rRNA from 1 species